CACAAGGGAGAAAAAUUGGCUGGAUACCAUUAUAAUGGUAUCCAGCCAAUUUUUCUCCCUUGUG